rnacentral:lncRNA from 1 species
GAUUCUUGGGAUAAUGGGGUAUUUUUGGAGAGAAAAUGCGUGAUUUUGGGGUAAAUGCGGGAGUUUCCAAGAGAAAAGGCGAGAUUUUUGAGUGAAAUGGGGGAUUUUCUAAGAGAAAAUGCAUGAUUUGGGGGUUAAAUGGGGGAUUUCUGAGGAGAAAAUGUGUGAUUCUUGGGAUAAUGGGGUAUUUUUGGAGAGAAAAUGCAUGAUUUGGGGGUAAAUGCGUAUUUUCCAAGAGAAAAGGCGAGAUUUUUGAGUGAAAUGGGGGAUAUUCCAAGAGAAAAUGCAUGAUUUGGGGGUUAAAUGGGGGAUUGUUGAAGAGAGAAUGCAUGAUUUUGGGGUGAAGGGGGGGAUUUUUGAAGAGAAAACACAUAAUUUUUGGUUUAAACAGCUAUUUUUGAAGAGAAUAUGCGUGAUUUUCAGUUUAAAUCAGGGAUUGUCAAAGAGGAAAUGUGUGAUUUUUGUUUAAAUGGGGUAUUUUGGAAGGGAAGAUGCGUGAUUUUCGGGUUAAAUGGGGGAUUUUUGAAGAGGAAAUGCUUCGUUUCAGGUUAAAUGGGGGAUUUUCCAAGAGAAAAUGCGUUAUUUUCAUUUACAUGUGAGUUUUUUGUAGAGGAAACACGUGAUUUUGGGGUUAAAUGGGGGAUUCUUGAAGUGAAAAUGUGAUUUUUUGAGUUAAAUGGGGGAUUUUUGAGGAGAAAAUGCGUGAUUUUGGGUUAAAUGAGGGAUUUCCGAAGAGAAACUGUGAGUUUUGUGGUGAAAUUGCGGGAUUUUCGUUUCCGUUUUUUUUUUUUUUUUUUUUUUGGUAGAGAAAAUGUGUGAUUUUCGUGUUAAAUGGAGUAUUUUUGAAGAGAAAAUGUGUGAUUUUGGGCUUAAAUGGGGGAUUUUUGUAGAGAAGGAGUGAUUUUCGAGUUAAAUCAGGUAUUCUCAAAGAGAAUAUCCGUGAUUUUGGGGUUUAAUGGGGGAUUUUUGUAGAAAAAUACAUGAUUUUCAUGUUGAAUCGCCAAUUCUUGAAGAGAAAAUGCAUGAUUUCUGCUUUAAAUGUGAGAUUUUAACAGAGAAAAAGCGGGAUUUUCAGGUUAAGCCGGAUAUUUUUUGUAGAG